rnacentral:rRNA from 1 species
CAGUCGCCGCGGUAAUACGUAGGGUGCAAGCGUUAAUCGGAAUUACUGGGCGUAAAGCGUGCGCAGGCGGUUCUAUAAGACAGAUGUGAAAUCCCCGGGCUCAACCUGGGAACUGCAUUUGUGACUGUAGAGCUGGAGUGCGGCAGAGGGGGAUGGAAUUCCGCGUGUAGCAGUGAAAUGCGUUGAGAUCGGAAAGAACACCAACGGCGAAAGCACUCUGCUGGGCCGACACUGACACUGAGAGACGAAAGCUAGGGGAGCAAAUGGGAUUAGAUACCCCGGUAGUCCCUGUCUCUUAUAC